rnacentral:rRNA from 1 species
UACGUAGGUGGCAAGCGUUGUCCGGAUUUAUUGGGUUUAAAGGGUGCGUAGGCGGUUUGUCGCGUCUGCUGUGAAAACCCGAGGCUCAACCUCGGGCCUGCAGUGGGUACGGGCAGACUAGAGUGCGGUAGGGGAGAUUGGAAUUCCUGGUGUAGCGGUGGAAUGCGCAGAUAUCAGGAGGAACACCGAUGGCGAAGGCAGAUCUCUGGGCCGUAACUGACGCUGAGGAGCGAAAAGCAUGGGGAGCGAACAGG